ensembl:lncRNA
UGCCCACAUCACAUGUUGUAUCUUUUAGAAAUGACACAAUAAUAACAUUCUAUCCAUUCCAUCCUGCUGGGAUUAGUCCCAGCAAUAACCCUGUCUAACCGGUGACAAGAUCUGCCCAGUAUAGAAUUCAAAGAUACCAUUGUUAUGAUCCCUUUUAUAAAGGAACCUGCCUGGCUUCUCCCAGUGCAGAGUUGAGAGCAAAUCCAGAGCUUCUUCCAAGAUGCUACUGAUCCUGCUCUCAGUGGCCUUGCUGGCCCUGAGCUCAGUUCAAGGCUCAGAUUCUGAAAGCAGCAGUGAAGAGUUUCGGAGAACCGUAUUAGAUAGAACCAGCUCAGACUCAAGCUCAGAUGAGGAUUUUUUCAUACGACGUCCUGGAAAACACAGAGAACGCAGAGGACCACCACCUUCUCCUAAUGAUGAAAACGAAGAUGAGGAAGCUCCACCAGGGCCACCCCCACCAGGGCCACCCCCACCCAGUGAUGAACCUCAGCCAAAUCCACCCCCACCAGAGGAGCAACCUGAGCAGAGUUCAGAUGAGGACUGACUAUCCAAGUAAUCUGAAAGUCAUUAACAGAGCAUGAGUGUGAACAUACCAGUCCUUCAGAAAGCCAUGACAUUGGAAGAAGGCAGUCUGUCUUCAAUUUACCAAUGAAAUAAUCAGCAUCCAGUUUCUAAGUGUCACAUCUCAUUCUGGGUGUUUGUGAGUCUGAAAUUUGAGGGCCAGGAACCCAACCUAGGAACAUCCAAGACUGGUUCUCACUGAUGCUUCCAGCAGCAUUCCUCCUGGACUGAAUUCUUAGAAGACAUUUUCCCUUUGUUCUUUGCUUGGGGACUGGAGUGUGUAUCUCCUUUCUUCCUCCUGUUGCCUCCCCCUUCCACCUGACACCUUUAUUCAGAAGCCAGGUGCCUUUCCUGUCCUUCCCUGGUUUCUAUAGCACUAAAGCGAUGUUUUUAUUAUUUUCACACCUUUCUAAUAAUUUUAGGGAAAUAAAGAAAAUAUUGCAAAUGUGAAGAAGUGGCA